rnacentral:rRNA from 1 species
AACGAACGCUGGCGGCAGGCUUAACACAUGCAAGUCGAACGGGCCCUUCGGGGUCAGUGGCAGACGGGUGAGUAACGCGUGGGAACGUGCCCUUCAGUUUGGGAUAACCCAGGGCAACUUGGGCUAAUACCGGUUACGUGAGAGAGCAGAAAGAUUUGUCGCUGAAGGAUCGGCCCGCGUCUGAUUAGCUGGUUGGUAGGGUAAUGGCCUACCAAGGCGACGAUCAGUAGCUGGUCUGAGAGGAUGAUCAGCCACAUUGGGACUGAGACACGGCCCAAACUCCUACGGGAGGCAGCAGUGGGGAAUAUUGGACAAUGGGCGCAAGCCUGAUCCAGCCAUGCCGCGUGAGUGAUGAAGGCCUUAGGGUUGUAAAGCUCUUUCAGUGGGGACGAUAAUGACGGUACCCGCAGAAGAAGCCCCGGCUAACUUCGUGCCAGCCGCCGCCGUAA